AUUGAACGCUGGCGGCAGGCCUAACACAUGCAAGUCGAGCGGAUGAAGGGAGCUUGCUCCUGGAUUCAGCGGCGGACGGGUGAGUAAUGCCUAGGAAUCUGCCUGGUAGUGGGGGAUAACGUCCGGAAACGGGCGCUAAUACCGCAUACGUCCUGAGGGAGAAAGUGGGGGAUCUUCGGACCUCACGCUAUCAGAUGAGCCUAGGUCGGAUUAGCUAGUUGGUGGGGUAAAGGCCUACCAAGGCGACGAUCCGUAACUGGUCUGAGAGGAUGAUCAGUCACACUGGAACUUAGACACGGUCCAGACUCCUACGGGAGGCAGCAGUGGGGAAUAUUGGACAAUGGGCGAAAGCCUGAUCCAGCCAUGCCGCGUGUGUGAAGAAGGUCUUCGGAUUGUAAAGCCCUUUAAGUUGGGAGGAAGGGCAGUAAGUUAAUACCUUGCUGUUUUGACGGUACCAACAGAAUAAGCACCGGCUAACUUCGUG
rnacentral:rRNA from 1 species